rnacentral:misc_RNA from 1 species
UAAAAUAUCACUAGUCUUAGCAAAAACAAUCACUAUUCUUUCUAAUAUCUAAAAUAUCAAGUCGAUUAAAGUGAAAGCGGUUGGAAUAUUAACCUCCUGCUAAAAGAGUAAGGCACCAUAUACACUUCAAAACAGAGGCCUACAGAAAAUGAAGAGCUCAGCUAGUCCAUUUCAUUAAAAAAAAGCAGCAGCCUUUAUAAUACUGAUGCUUAUAUAACUAAUUCUUAUAGAAGGAAAAAAAAAAUAAAGGAAUGUGAUUAGUCCAGCACAGAAAGCUUUUGGUACUCUUCUCCAGAGAUGGCAGCUUCCAUGACGGACACAGGGUCUACAGAACCAUCCCCAUCCAAGAACACCUUCAUCAAAUUUUUUGAAUACCCACUUACCAACGCCACCCCUUUUUGCGUUGCAGGUACUGGUGUAGCCCUCGAAUAUCUCAAAUUCCAAAACACAGCUUCUGGGAUCACGUUUUCAUACCCUUUCUCUCUGAAUUUCGUCUCUAUCACUUUAUAGUCUGUUUCCCAAGGUCUUGAUGAUGCUUCAUCAAACUCCAUAUCACUGAACACAAAUACCCUCUUUAUCAUCUCAUCCUCCUUCAAUUUCCCAUCAACAGCCACUUUCAGGAUGAGGUCAAACACCUUUUGGAAAUCAGUGUUACAUCCCCAAUCCAUGCUUCUCACAAACUCUGUCUUCGCCCUAAGACUAUCUCCUUGGACCAUUUGAAGAGUAGGUCUUUCACUGAAAGUAAUAACCUUUCCUCUCCAUGGCUCCUCGCUCAGUUCAGAAACUAACACACCCAAUGCUACAGAUACCUCCAUUGGUAUCCCACUCAUGCUACCAGACACAUCACAAAUAGCCAUACAGUUUUUCAACUUCCCCUUCUGGACAAGAUCAUCCACCAUUCUUUUCCAUUGCAGCUCUGCCACUUGCCCACCAUCAUCAUCAUCCAAAGCCAUAAUUAUCUCAUGAGGAAACAAAGCGCCCGCUGCGAUCUUGGCCUUCCCAGAUUCCACAUCCUUUAAAUACUUGGAGAAACGCUCAGCGUCAUGUUUCAAGAACUUCUCCUUGUAAAAUUUCAUAGCCACAGAAGCAACCCGAUUGUAUGGAAUAUCACCCCAUCUGUUAUGCCCAAUAUACACUUCUGGUAACUCCAGAACCUUUCGAAGCGGCACUAAAACCUCCUUCCUCAAUCGAUCCCGAAUCCUAUAAGCGUAAUGUGCCUCUUCGAUUCCUUCAUAUUCAGGAUAGGAUUCUCUAGGAAAUAUCUUCCUCGCAAUACCCUCACAAAGCAAAGUUGAUCGAUCAAAAGAAGAGUCGAUCGACGGGCACCAUUUAGCAGCAAGGCUCACCUUUGUCGUCUGACCAGAGUUGAGGUGCUCCAUAUCUGUUUUCAGGCACUCAGCGAAGAAGUCCGUGACGUGCUCGUAUAGGAAUCGGAAAUCAGGGUCUCGGCUAUAUCUCUCAAAAACCUUCUUGGCCAUGGCUACUUUCUUCUCUUUCCUGGCCACGCUUGCUUUCUCUUUCUCAAUUUUGUUCCUUUGCAUAGCGUUCGAGAUCCUUAUCUGUCUGGUCACAGUGGGCUUUGCUCGCCUUGAUCGCUUAGACCGUUUGCUUUUGGUUCGGUGUUGAAACGGACCUCGAAAUGUCGAAAGCCUAAAUUUAAAACUGUUUCCUUUCCUUUUGCCCCCCCUUUUUCUCUGCUCCCACUGUGCUUUUUGGAUCCUCCUCACAUCAUAUCCCUCCAGAAGACGGUAAAGAAUCUCGGGCAAGUCCUUGAAAUAACCGAAAUUCGCCAAAGAUGAAACGUUAAAAGCAAGCGUUUUGGGGUGGAAUUGAUGAAGCCAAAUCGCCGCGGCAUAAAACCCUUCUUUGUCAGAUUUUCCGGUGCCACGAACACCCCUAAGAUUACAUAUAAGCUUAAGGGUGGUCAAGGGGUUGUACUGCCAUGCAUCGUGGAGCUUCUCCCUAAUGGAUUGGGGAGGGGUAUUGGGUACGACAUGGAAGAAGAAAUCAAGGCAAGGAUUGCCCGAUGAGAGAUAUGUCGCCGAACAAUUCUCAGUGUAACCCAUUGGUGGAGAUUGCAUUGGAUCAAUGGUAGUUUUAUUGAAAUUGGCCACCAUGAGAUCCAUGAACGGAUCACUAACGCCAUCUGUAGCUUCGCUUGGGGGUGGUUUUGCUAGAAGAGUUGGGUUGUGGAGCUCUGGAGGACCGAGGAGAGAUGUCAUUGCCAUUUAUGUAGCGUUUUUGGAUAUUUUUACUAGGGUUUUGGUGUGGGGGUCUGAUAGCAUUUAUCGAGUGUGUUUUGUAAUGAUUUCG